rfam:Bacillus coagulans 36D1, complete genome.
UGACAUCUAAAUACGGGCUUGGGCGAUGGAAACAGGUGAAAUUCCUGUACGGUCCCGCCACUGUGAUGGAAAACAUUUUCCUAAGUCAGAUCUUUCUCCCAAGCUGUCGGUUUAUUUGAAGCCUACGAGGUAUAGGCGAAAAAAAUUU